GACGAACGCUGGCGGCGUGCUUAACACAUGCAAGUCGAACGGAAAGGCCCUGCUUUUGUGGGGUGCUCGAGUGGCGAACGGGUGAGUAACACGUGAGUAACCUGCCCUUGACUUUGGGAUAACUUCAGGAAACUGGGGCUAAUACCGGAUAGGAGCUCCUGCUGCAUGGUGGGGGUUGGAAAGUUUCGGCGGGUGGGGAUGGACUCGCGGCUUAUCAGCUUGUUGGUGGGGUAGUGGCUUACCAAGGCUUUGACGGGUAGCCGGCCUGAGAGGGUGACCGGCCACAUUGGGACUGAGAUACGGCCCAGACUCCUACGGGAGGCAGCAGUGGGGAAUAUUGCACAAUGGGCGGAAGCCUGAUGCAGCAACGCCGCGUGCGGGAUGACGGCCUUCGGGUUGUAAACCGCUUUCGCCUGUGACGAGGCGUGAGUGACGGUAAUGGGUAAAGAAGCACCGGCUAACUACGUG
rnacentral:rRNA from 1 species